rnacentral:rRNA from 1 species
AUGGUCGCCUGUGAUUUCAACUUGAUCGCGGACACGUCUAACAAAAGCAAUGAUCGGAUUAACAGAUGGAUGAUGGGGAGGUUUAGAAGGUGCAUCACAGACUUGGACUUGCACGAGCUCUACCUCAACGGGAGGAGAUAUACUUGGUCGAACGAGAGGACGGAGCCAACAUUCGAGAAGCUGGAUCGUGCCCUCGUCUCUGUCAAUUGGGAGGCGUUGUACCCUACUUCUUUCCUAUCCGCGCUCAGCACGAAUGUUUCAGAUCAUCGCCCGUUGCACCUCGUGCUGGAGGCCAACCUGAAGCGGGGCAGGAGGUUCCACUUCGAAUCUUUUUGGACCAAGGUAGAUGGUUCCCAUGACGUGGUCAGUGUUAGAUGA